AAAUAUGUUAUCUAAACAGACUCUCUUUCAGUUUGAAUAUGUAUGUUCUGAAGUUACAUACUCCCAGGUGGGAGUACUGUGGUCACAAGAACAGUCCCAGGCAGUGCUAUCAAGGUCUGCAUUCCCCUGGUCUCUCUCAUUCCUUUCUUGGAGAUGGUGUUUGGAGGCUUUUUAUUCUGUCUCUCCUGGAUGCUGAUCCUAUGGACAGGCAGGGUUUGCCACGGUGGUGUUGGGGCUGUGGUCCUGAGCUGGCUGCAUGAAUAGAAUAGCAGCCAAGUUUUUUUUACCUCCACUAGUCUGUCCUCUUGCAAAGGGAAUUUCCAACAGUUUUUUCACAUCAGUGGGUCAGUGGUCACUUGUCCCAGCUGUGGCCCUUGGGUCACAGAGGUGCUUCUCUGUCUGUCUGCAGGUUCUCUGGCACUGUGCCACCUUGCCUGGGCUCUGUACAGUGUGUUUCAACAGACUGCUCUUAACCAUCGACAGUAACUCUCCCCUUUCAGCAUUCACAACCAUGACGUGAAUCUCAGGAGUGUUGGUGAAGAUUUCCAUCACUUCUCCACAGACAGUGUGCCCUCCACCUCUUAAACUGGUCCUCAAUAGCUCCCUGGUUUCCUCCUGCCUUUUCACAUAACUCUUUUUCCCCACUUCUUGUGAGUACAUUUCCUGCAGCGCAUUAAACAAACUAAGCAAAACGUGACCCCGAGAUUACUCCAGAGGACCCGAUGAAAUACAAGUUAGUAUUUAUAAGAAUACUGGUUUUUUUAAUCCUGUUUGUUUUCCCUACAAAGCAGAGAGCUGUAACUUGACUGGCUCCCAUGUGUAUGCUAACACAAGGCAGUACAUUUGUUUAUUGUUACACAGGUUGAUUCUUGUAGGGCUGUGAGGAUAUCAAAUGGAGCUUACUGUUCAUAAAUGGUAAUUCAUCCUUCGCCCCUGUCGUACACGACACCCCUGAAAAGAAAUCAUUUUUCUCUGAAGAUUUCCAAUGAGAUUUUCAGUGCAGAUGGAUAGUACUUAUAUAAGAGAAAUGUUUGCAAAGGGAGGAAAAGAUAAUAAAAAAAAUACUUCUGGUUUUACAUUUGGAACUCUUAGAACUGACUCCAUCCAUGUAACCAGUAUAAUUUGCUUUGCCGAAAUAAAUUAUGUUAGUGAGAAACCCUACACAGUAACUGUAAUGCAGAGGGCAGACACAGUCAUGUUUCUGUAAAGCACAGUGUGUUAUAUCUGACAAAAAACAUUCAAAACAAAUGGUUGGUUUCUUACCUGUUUUCACCCCGUGCAAAAGGUAGAUGAACACAACACACAGCCUCAGCAUAUGGACUUCCACAUGGAGCUUCUAUGGGUAAGAGACCUUAAGGACCCCACAGUUUCUUUGGCAUGUGUCUGCUGGCUCUGACAGCAACUUGCUCCCUUUUUUUUUUCUGCCUGUCCCAGUAGGUGUGGUGAAAGCAGGAAGUUACCAGCCAAGAAAUGAAGACCAGUCUUUAGUUAUACAACUGAAGCUUCUUCUUAAAAAGGUGGGGCACUUUCUAUUCUAACAGGUUUCCUUAAUUUAGACAUAGUUUGCCCUGGGAGAUGACUAAUCAAAGACACAAAUGGGUUGGUAUCACGCUGUAAGCAGCAAUUUGACUACACUGUGUUGAAACUAAGGAAAUUAUUGCCUUAUUCUCUUUUGCAGAGAAUGUCAAGAGGAUUGUAGGUGUCACUGCAAGUCUGAUAAGCAUCUGGGCAGGGCCAGUGCUUGGUUUCCCAGGGCCCUGCCUUUGGAAAGUUCAUGAUGAUCCCUAAUCUCCCAUGUUCCUCCUGCUCUCUGGAGUCCCUUCUAACCCACAAAGCCCUGUCCCCUCAGGCAGGAGGCAGGUGCACGGCACUAUGUGUGACAAAGGGAAGGUACUUGGGGCAGUCUGGCUCUCCAUUGGGCUCCCAAGCAUCUGCUGCCUUGGAUGACACUCAUACAACUGGCAUUCCCACCACAUUUUCUCAAAGACCUGCUGGAACAUCAUGAAUUCAGCUCUAAUUCAACAAGAAGUUCUGCCAAUGGUGAGACAGAAUCAGUCCAACAGUGAAACACGAAGAGGAACAGAAGGCUUUUACCUGUUGCAAAGGACAUCUGUGAAUCAGAGAUAAAAUGGGAUAAAUCAAGAGGGCCUUGCCUUUCUUCUCAGCACAAAAAGAGGUUGGGACUGGCAAUACCCUGGGACUGGCAGGCCCUUCCUUGGAACUCUCAAUCAUCCCUCUAAAGACCAUGAUUUUGAGACCCUGGGGCCUUGCUAUACACUCAGACUGCACACACAGCGAAGGAGAAUAUAUAGCAAAUGCAAAGUGAGAAAUCCUUCCUCUCUAUGUGUUGGACUCAGGUGUGGCUGUGCUGGAGCAACAGUAGAAGUCAGAACUCUCUUCUAUUAUUUGUUCUCUGUGUUGCUGUACUGCUGCUGUCACAGUGAAUGCUAUUCUGCCAGAUACCAUUUGGGCAGGAAUUCUGAGUUCUAGAUCUCUGGAAAUCCCAGCAUGAGGUAACUAAAACGUUUCAGUUUUGAAAACAGUGUAUGAUUUGAGCCCAUUUGAGUUCCCAGGAAUCUCUCAAGUGGGCACUGGAGCAAAUGCUCAGGACAGGCUCAAAGAGCACUUCACAGCCAUUCUGUUUGCUCCUGUACAGUGCUCCUGAGUAAGUCUCCUGUGAAUUCGUGCUACUUUUCCCAUGUGAUCAGAGGCAAUCUCAUCUCUGGGAAUCUUUAUAUCCACAGCCAGGCCUUUCUUUCUAUUGUUAGUUGGUGAGGCUUCCUGCUCUGGGGCUGCCAUCUGUAUGUGACUGUAAGUAGCCCAAGAGGUGGCUGUAAGGGAAGAAACAGUAAUGUUUGGACUCAAGGUAAAGGCAAAUGUCAGUAAGGAACCAGUUUAUAAUACUCAGCCUGCCUUAUAAAUGUUAUCCCAAGCAAUAGGGGGUUUGGGCUCUUUUAUCUGACAAUUACAGUUCUGCAAGAUCCCUCCCUCAAACCCAGCUCUUGGCAGAAAAACGUGUGUGCUGUAUAUAUGGAUUUUGGGGUUGUGCAGCUGCUCCUUGUCCUCUCUGAAAAGCCAGUGGUGGAAAGGCUAAAGCUUGAGCCACGUCACAAUUUGGAAAUGUGUCUAUGCUGAAGGAGACCAACACCCCAUGAUCCCCACAACUGCCUUGUCAGUGCUAGCCAGGGUAAAGCUUGUGCACCAGAGAGAACAAGGAAAGGGAAAAUCCUCAGCUACCUCCUGCUUCCCUGGAAGUUUCAAAGUAGCUAAGCAAAGGUUUCAGAGUGGGAGAUCUGAAGCUUCAACUCUGGGCUUUGUGGGAUCAGCAGUAGCUUUUCCCCCAUUGCCCCUCUCCCACCCUGCAGCUGUGCCCUGGAUGAAAGGACAGCUGCCAUGCCUUGGACAUGGCACUGCAGGUGCCAGUGCAUUCACUGCUGUCCUUGAACUGCCAACAGCAAUGCUGGAUCUGGAAAAGACUGACUGGAAACAGGUACGAAAAUUUUUCAGCUUCUUUUAAUGGAAUUUCAGGAAGUGGAAAU